rnacentral:misc_RNA from 1 species
GAUGAAGAACGUAGUGAAAUGCGAUAAGUAAUGUGAAUUGCAGAAUUUAGUGAAUCAUCGAAUCUUUGAACGCACCUUGCGCCCUUUGGCUAUUCCGAAGGGCAUGCCUGUUUGAGUAUCAUGAACACCUCAACUCUUUAUGGUUUUCCAUGAAGGGCUUGGACUUUGGGGGUCUUGCUGGCCUUUAGUCAGCUCCUCUCAAACGAAUCAGCUUUCCAGUGUUUGGCAGCGUCACAGGUGUGAUAACUAUCUACGCUUGUGGUUUUCUGCCAGGUAAUCCUCAGUGAUGGGGAUUCGCUGGGGCUUAUAAAUGUCUCUCCUCAGCGAAGACAGCUUUGUGAACGUUUGAUCUCAAAUCAGGUAGGACUACCCGCUGAACUUAAGCAUAUCAAUAAGCGGAGGA